CGAGCGGCGAACGGGUGAGUAACACGUGGGUGACCUGCCCUCAGCUCUGGGAUAAGCCCGGGAAACUGGGUCUAAUACCGGAUAUGACCUGCUGUUGCAUGACAGUGGGUGGAAAGUUUUUCGGCUGAGGAUGGGCCCGCGGCCUAUCAGCUUGUUGGUGGGGUGAUGGCCUACCAAGGCGACGACGGGUAGCCGGCCUGAGAGGGCGACCGGCCACACUGGGACUGAGAUACGGCCCAGACUCCUACGGGAGGCAGCAGUGGGGAAUAUUGCGCAAUGGGCGAAAGCCUGACGCAGCGACGCCGCGUGGGGGAUGACGGCCUUCGGGUUGUAAACCUCUUUCGACCGGGACGAAGGGAAACUGACGGUACCGGUAGAAGAAGCACCGGCCAACUACGUGCCAGCAGCCGCGGUAAUACGUAGGGUGCGAGCGUUGUCCGGAAUUAUUGGGCGUAAAGAGCUCGUAGGCGGUGUGUCACGUCGGUCGUGAAAACUUGGGGCUCAACCCUGAGCGUGCGGUCGAUACGGGCAUCACUUGAGUUCGGCAGGGGAGACUGGAAUUCCUGGUGUAGCGGUGAAAUGCGCAGAUAUCAGGAGGAACACCGGUGGCGAAGGCGGGUCUCUGGGCCGAUACUGACGCUGAGGAGCGAAAGCGUGGGGAGCGAACAGGAUUAGAUACCCUGGUAGUCCACGCCGUAAACGGUGGGCACUAGGUGUGGGGGCCAUUCCACGGUCUCUGUGCCGCAGCUAA
rnacentral:rRNA from 1 species